UACGUAGGGCGCAAGCGUUAUCCGGAAUUAUUGGGCGUAAAGAGCUCGUAGGCGGUUUGUCGCGUCUGCCUUGAAAGUCCGGGGCUCAACUCCGGAUCUGCGGUGGGUACGGGCAGACUAGAGUGAUGUAGGGGAGACUGGAAUUCCUGGUGUAGCGGUGAAAUGCGCAGAUAUCAGGAGGAACACCGAUGGCGAAGGCAGGUCUCUGGGCAUUAACUGACGCUGAGGAGCGAAAGCAUGGGGAGCGAACAGG
rnacentral:rRNA from 1 species